rnacentral:piRNA from 1 species
UCCCAGCUGCUGGUGAAGCCUAUCUCUGC